rnacentral:tRNA from 12 species
CAAUAUAGCUCAUCGGCUAGGCGUCAACCUUGAUCCACAAAGGUUGCUGGUUCAAAUCCUGCAA